CAGAGUAGAAGGUCAAGCGUUAAGUGAUAAACAGACGGGGAGUUGCUGUUUAAACGAAAAGCGAAAAGCUUGCGGUUUGACUUUUGCAUCCCGCUG
rnacentral:ncRNA from 1 species